CAACUACUCUUUUCGUCCAACAAAAAUAUCUCAAGUUUGUCAAAAUUUGAAUGUAUUUAAACAUGACUUAGUGUAUAGAUGCAUUCAAAUUUAGUUAAAGUUGAGACAUUUUUUGUUGGACGGAAUUUUUAGAGA
rnacentral:pre_miRNA from 1 species